rnacentral:rRNA from 1 species
AUAAUACUCCAUAGAUUAGAGAAACUGGAAUGUUCUUUAAUCGAAAGUUCCGGCGCCAUAGGAUGGAUCUGCGGCCGAUUAGGUAGUUGUUGGGGUAACGGCCCAACAAGCCUGUAAUCGGUACGGGUUGUGGGAGCAAGAGCCCGGAGAUGGAAUCUGAGACACGAUUCCAGGCCCUACGGGGCGCAGCAGGCGCGAAACUUUACAAUGCAGGAAACUGUGAUAAGGGAACCCCGAGUGCCCGUAUACGCGGGCUGUCCAGGUGUCUAAAAAUCAUCUGAAGAAAGGGCCGGGCAAGACCGGUGCCAGCCGCCGCGGUAAUACCGGCGGCUCGAGUGGUGGCCACUAUUAUUGGGCUUAAAGCGUCCGUAGCUGGACCGAUAAGUCUCUUGGGAAAUCCGCCGGCUCAACCGGCGGGCGUCUAAGGGAUACUGUUAGUCUAGGGACCGGGAGAGGUGAGAGGUACUCCGGGGGUAGGAGUGAAAUCCUGUAAUCCCCGGGGGACCACCGAUGGCGAAGGCAUCUCACCAGAACGGCUCCGACAGUGAGGGACGAAAGCUGGGGGAGCGAACCGGAUUAGAUACCCGGGUAGUCCCAGCCGUAAACUAUGCGCGUUAGGUGU